rnacentral:rRNA from 1 species
CAGCAGCCGCGGGAAUACGUAGGUGGCGAGCGUUGUCCGGAUUUAUUGGGCGUAAAGGGAGUGUAGGCGGUCUUUUAAGUCUGAUGUGAAAGCCCACGGCUCAACCGUGGAGGGUCAUUGGAAACUGGGAGACUUGAGUGCAGAAGAGGAGAGCGGAAUUCCAUGUGUAGCGGUGAAAUGCGUAGAUAUAUGGAGGAACACCAGUGGCGAAGGCGGCUCUCUGGUCUGUAACUGACGCUGAGGCUCGAAAGCGUGGGGAGCAAACAGGAUUAGAUACCCCCGUAGUCCCUGUCUCUUAUAC